rnacentral:rRNA from 1 species
GACGAACGCUGGCGGCGUGCUUAACACAUGCAAGUCGAACGGAAAGGCCCUGCUUUUGUGGGGUGCUCGAGUGGCGAACGGGUGAGUAACACGUGAGUAGCCUGCCCUUGACUUUGGGAUAACUUCAGGAAACUGGGGCUAAUACCGGAUAGGAGCUCCUGCUGCAUGGUGUGGGUUGGAAAGUUUCGGCGGUUGGGGAUGGACUCGCGGCUUAUCAGCUUGUUGGUGGGGUAGUGGCUUACCAAGGCUUUGACGGGUAGCCGGCCUGAGAGGGUGACCGGCGACAUUGGGACUGAGAUACGGCCCAGACUCCUACGGGAGGCAGCAGUGGGGAAUAUGGCACAAUGGGCGGAAGCCUGAUGCAGCAACGCCGCGUGCGGGAUGACGGCCUUCGGGUUGUAAACCGCUUUCGCCUGUGACGAAGCGUGAGUGACGGUAAUGGGUAAAGAAGCACCGGCUAACUACGUG